GAAAGUGGAAUCAAACUGUUGUAUUCAUGCAGUGUUGAUAUGGCCUAAGAUUUAAAUUGUUGAAGUGGAGAAGUCAGUAGAUGUUAAACUCAGAUUAAAGAUUAUCAGUCAUUUAUUUUGGGCAAUAUAGUUGUCUGAUUCCCAACCAGAACAGGACAAUUCCAGAGCACCGUAGAAGCCGAGGUUACCCUGCAGGCCACUUUGCGUUAGUGAAAACCAGGGAGCAAGAAAUCUUCCAUCCAGUAGCGUUGGUGCAACCAGCAGCUAGUCAGAAGGUCUCAGAGGGAGCUGAAAUGCUGAACAUGUGUAUUUAUUCUGCUAAAGAACACAGCAUAAGAAAAGGUGGAUUAGACUGUGAUGAAGAAAGAGUGAAUAUUAGUGGAAGAAACAUCAACCAUGAAAGAAGUCUUGGUGACAACAUGACACUGGCAGAAAACAAUAGUGCCUCAGAAUGAUGAAGGUGAGAGGAGAAAAUGCUAAAGCAGGACUACAACAGAACAUUAAGGGGGGGAAUAGAAAUAAUUACAGAAAAGCAAUGCAACUUUACGGUUGACAAUGAAGAAACUGAAAUAGCUGAUUUUUUUCCCCUAUAACUUGCUUAACCCACCUCUCAGAAUGGACACUGUAGCCAAGAAAUCAGAAUAAGAUGUAGACAAGGGUAGCUAUGAGGUAUCUAGGAAGAUAAUUAAGACCAUCAAGAUAACCCAUCUUUAUUGUUAUGUAAAUAUGUCAAGCAUUUUACUGCAGGUUAAUUGCAAACUAGAACAAAAUCACUCCUAUCACAUGUCUUGUUUUAACAAAAAUGAAGCCACCAGAU